AGCUUUGCGCAGUGGCAGUAUCGUAGCCAAUGAGGUUUAUCCGAGGCGCGAUUAUUGCUAAUUAAAGGAGGUGACUAAGAUGGGAGGACACACCUGGAAGAGUAGCUGCUUUCACCUCAGUCUUGGGAGUGACCUUCAAGUUUUGGGGGUUUUACCCAAC
ensembl:snRNA U4 U4 spliceosomal RNA